rnacentral:rRNA from 1 species
UACGUAGGGGGCAAGCGUUGUCCGGAAUCAUUGGGCGUAAAGCGCGUGUAGGCGGCUUGAUAAGUCGGCUGUGAAAGUCAAGGGCUCAACCCUUGAAUGCCGGCCGAUACUGUCAGGCUAGAGUCCGGAAGAGGCGAGUGGAAUUCCUGGUGUAGCGGUGAAAUGCGCAGAUAUCAGGAGGAACACCGGUGGCGAAGGCGGCUUUCUGGGCCUUACCUGACGCUGAGGAGCGAAAGCUGGGGGAGCAAACAGG